AGUUUGAUCCUGGCUCAGAGUGAACGCUGGCGGCGUGCUUAACACAUGCAAGUCGAACGAGAACGGGUUAUAGCUUGCUAUAACUGUCAGCUAAGUGGCGCACGGGUGAGUAAUAUAUAGUUAAUCUGCCCCAAAGAGAGGGAUAACAGUUGGAAACGACUGCUAACACCUUAUAUGCCUUUAAGACAUAAGUCUGCAAGGGAAACAUUUAUGGCUUUGGGAUUGGCCUGUACGGUAUCAGCUUGUUGGUGAGGGAAUGGCUCACCAAGGCAAUGACACCUAACUGGUUUGAGAGGAUGAUCAGUCACACUGGAACUGAGACACGGUCCAGACUCCUACGGGAGGCAGCAGUGGGGAAUAUUGCACAAUGGACGAAAGUCUGAUGCAGCAACGCCGCGUUGAGGAUAACACAUUUCGGUGCGUAAACUCCUUUUAUAUAGGAAGAUAAUGACGGUACUAUAUGAAUAAGCGCCGGCUAACUCCGUGCCAGCAGCCGCGGUAAUACGGAGGGCGCAAGCGUUACUCGGAAUCACUGGGCGUAAAGAGCGUGUAGGCGGGUUAAUAAGUUUGAAGUGAAAUCCUAUGGCUCAACCAUAGAACUGCUUUGAAAACUGUUAGCCUAGAAUAUGGGAGAGGUAGAUGGAAUUUCUGGUGUAGGGGUGAAAUGCGUAGAGAUCGGAAGGAACAUCAGUGGCGAAGGCGGCUCUCUGGACCAAUACUGACACUGAGGUGCGAAAGCGUGGGUAGCAAACGGGAUUAGAUACCCCGGUAGUCCACGCCGUAAACGAUGUCAACUAACUGUUGGGCGGGUUUCCGCUUAGUGGUGCAAAGCUAACGCAUUAAGUACUCCGCCUGGGGAUUACGGCCGCAAGGCUAAAACUCAAAGGAAUUGACGGGGACCCGCACAAGCGGUGGAGCAUGUGGUUUAAUUCGAUGCAACGCGAAGAACCUUACCUACCCUUGACAUACUGAGAACUUUCCAGAGAUGGAUUGGUGCCUUCGGGAACUCAGAUACAGGUGCUGCAUGGCUGUCGUCAGCUCGUGUCGUGAGAUGUUGGGUUAAGUCCCGCAACGAGCGCAACCCUCGUGAUUAGUUGCUAACAGUUCGGCUGAGCACUCUAAUCAGACUGCCUUCGUAAGGAGGAGGAAGGUGAGGACGACGUCAAGUCAUCAUGGCCCUUACGUCCAGGGCUACACACGUGCUACAAUGGGGUAUACAAAGAGCAGCGAUACGGAGACGUGGAGCAAAAUCUUAAAACCCAAUCUCAGUUCGGAUUGGAGUCUGCAACUCGACUGCUUGAAGUUGGAAUCGCUAGUAAUCGUAGAUCAGCAAUGCUACGGUGAAUACGUUCCCGGAUCUUGUACUCACCGCCCGUCACACCAUGGGAAUUGAACUCAUUCGAAGCGGGAAUGCUAAAGUAGUUACCGUCCACAGUGGAUUUGGCGACUGGGGUGAAGUCGUAACAAGGUAACC
rnacentral:rRNA from 1 species